UACGUAGGGGGCAAGCGUUGUCCGGAAUCAUUGGGCGUAAAGAGCUCGUAGGCGGUGUGUCGCGUCGGCCGUGAAAACCUGCAGCUUAACUGUGGGCUUGCGGUCGAUACGGGCAUCACUGGAGUUCGGCAGGGGAGACUGGAAUUCCUGGUGUAGCGGUGAAAUGCGCAGAUAAUCUGGAGGAACACCGGUGGCGAAGGCGGCAUCCUGG
rnacentral:rRNA from 1 species